rnacentral:rRNA from 1 species
UACGUAGGGUGCGAGCGUUGUCCGGAAUUAUUGGGCGUAAAGGGCUCGUAGGCGGUUUGUCGCGUCGGGAGUGAAAACCUCGGGCUUAACUCGGGGCUUGCUUUCGAUACGGGCAGACUGGAGGUAUGCAGGGGAGAACGGAAUUCCUGGUGUAGCGGUGAAAUGCGCAGAUAUCAGGAGGAACACCGGUGGCGAAGGCGGUUCUCUGGGCAUGACCUGACGCUGAGGAGCGAAGGUGUGGGGAGCGAACAGG